rnacentral:lncRNA from 1 species
UGUAAGGCACCUCGCCCGGCGCCUCGGCCUCGGGGAGCCGAGUGUACUGAGGAAAGCAGAGGAGUACCUGCGGCUGUCUAAAGUGAAGUGUGUCAGUCUGUCUGCACACACCUCAGAAACCAGCAAUGCUGUCAUAUGCCUGGACCUUGCAGCGUCCUGUAGGAAGUGCCCCUUGGAUAGAGCGUAUCUAAUUAAGCUCUCUGGUUUGAACAAGAAGAUGUAUCAGAGCUGUCUUAAAUCUUUUGAGUGUUUGCUGGGGUUAAACUCAAAUAUUGGAUUAAGAGACCUGGCUGUGCAGUUCAGCUGUACAGAAGCCGUGAACUUGGCUGCGGGGAUACUGCAAAGUGUACACCAGGUGUGCUAAGGAGUAUCUCCAUAUCGAGGAUGCUCGCACUGGGCACCUCACAUGGACAUUGGAUCAACCAUAUUGCCUCUGUGGACUCAGAUCUGUCCUCUUCUAUGAGGUGAAAUCGGGACCAUUUUGCUUCAGUGUGUUAAGUUUAAGGAAGUUUCCUGACUAAACCGAGAAUGCAGAUUUCAACCUGAAAGGCAUCUCAGACACUUUUUUUUGUUUUUGUGGGUUUUUUUUUUAUUUUAUUUCACUAAAUCAAUGUUAUAUAGCCUAAGUUAAUAAAUAUUUAUUUUUAAAGACUUUUUUU